rnacentral:rRNA from 1 species
CAGUAGCCGCGGUAAUACAGAGGGUGCGAGCGUUAAUCGGAUUUACUGGGCGUAAAGCGUGCGUAGGCGGCUUCUUAAGUCGGAUGUGAAAUCCCUGAGCUUAACUUAGGAAUUGCAUUCGAUACUGGGAAGCUAGAGUAUGGGAGAGGAUGGUAGAAUUCCAGGUGUAGCGGUGAAAUGCGUAUAGAUCUGGAGGAAUACCGAUGGCGAAGGCAGCCAUCUGGCCUAAUACUGACGCUGAGGUACGAAAGCAUGGGGAGCUAACAGGAUUAGAUACCCCAGUAGUCCCUGUCUCUUAUAC